GUCAUCACUCAGGCAACGGAGGAGGGGUGGGCAGUGGGGAGAAUCAGAGUUGCCCUAGUCUGAUCACCCUGGAACUCAGAGGUCAGACACGUGGGAGAAUCAGAGUUGCCCUAGUCUGAUCACCCUGGAACUCAGAGGUCAGACAUGUGGGGAGAAUCAGAGUUGCCCUGGUCUGAUCACCCUGGAACUCAGAGGUCAGACACGUGGGAGAAUCAGAGUUGCCCUGGUCUGAUCACCCUGGAACUCAGAGGGAACUUCCCGUCUGGUUCAGAAUCAGUCAGUCCCCACUCAGGGCCUGAACCCCAGCCCAGGGCUACAGGGCUCUGCAUUCACAGCACAGGUGCGUAGGUGCCCUGCUGACGCCUGCAGGUUGUGAACAUGGAAAUUCAUGUUUCCCAGCAACCACACAGCUCCGGAGAAAUCAGGAACUGAAUCUGCCUCCGGUGAUUUCAAAAGCAGUUAUCUUACCAUUUACU